AACCCUAACAAGCACAAAAUCAAGAAAUUGGAAGGGCAAAUCAAACCCAAAUCGAAAUUCAAGCACAUAUUAGUGAUCACCUCAGUAAAAGGGAUCAAAAGUUGACGAUCGACAAGCUAGGUGGAAGCUUGGGGAAAGAAGCCGGUUAAAUGGAAUAAAUACGCCGAAAAAGAGCAUAGCCGGAUGCAAGGAAAUAACAUAAGCUUGCAUCGCUUUAACUAAAAGGAUUUAAGGCAAAAAUUAUGUAAUGGGUCAAUACUUUGACCCGAGCCAGGUAU